CCUACGGGGUGCUGCAGUGAGGAAUAUUGGUCAAUGGACGAGAGUCUGAACCAGCCAAGUAGCGUGAAGGAUGACUGCCCUAUGGGUUGUAAACUUCUUUUAUAUGGGAAUAAAAUGUUCCACGUGUGGGAUUUUGUAUGUACCAUAUGAAUAAGGAUCGGCUAACUCCGUGCCAGCAGCCGCGGUAAUACGGAGGAUCCGAGCGUUAUCCGGAUUUAUUGGGUUUAAAGGGAGCGUAGGUGGAUUGUUAAGUCAGUUGUGAAAGUUUGCGGCUCAACCGUAAAAUUGCAGUUGAAACUGGCAGUCGUGAGUACAGUAGAGGUGGGCGGAAUGCGUGGUGUAGCGGUGAAAUGCUUAGAUAGCACGAAGAACUCCGAUUGCGAAGGCAGCUCACUGGACUGCAACUGACACUGAGGCUCGAAAGUGUGGGUAUCAAACAGGAUUAGAUACCCUUGUAGUC
rnacentral:rRNA from 1 species